GACGAACGCUGGCGGCGUGCCUAAUACAUGCAAGUAGAACGCACAGUUUAUACCGUAGCUUGCUACACCAUAGACUGUGAGUUGCGAACGGGUGAGUAACGCGUAGGUAACCUGCCUGGUAGCGGGGGAUAACUAUUGGAAACGAUAGCUAAUACCGCAUAAUAUUGAUUAUUGCAUGAUAAUUGAUUGAAAGAUGCUAUUGCAUCACUACCAGAUGGACCUGCGUUGUAUUAGCUAGUAGGUGAGGUAGCGGCUCACCUAGGCGACGAUACAUAGCCGACCUGAGAGGGUGAUCGGCCACACUGGGACUGAGACACGGCCCAGACUCCUACGGGAGGCAGCAGUAGGGAAUCUUCGGCAAUGGACGAAAGUCUGACCGAGCAACGCCGCGUGAGUGAAGAAGGUUUUCGGAUCGUAAAGCUCUGUUGUAAGAGAAGAACGGGUGUGAGAGUGGAAAGUUCACACUGUGACGGUAUCUGACCAGAAAGGGACGGCUAACUACGUG
rnacentral:rRNA from 1 species